AUUGAACGCUGGCGGCAUGCUCUACACAUGCAAGUCGAACGGUAACAGGCCGCAAGGUGCUGACGAGUGGCGAACGGGUGAGUAAUGCAUCGGAACGUGCCCAGUCGUGGGGGAUAACUACUCGAAAGAGUAGCUAAUACCGCAUACGAUCUAUGGAUGAAAGCGGGGGACCGUAAGGCCUCGCGCGAUUGGAGCGGCCGAUGUCAGAUUAGGUAGUUGGUGGGGUAAAGGCUCACCAAGCCAGCGAUCUGUAGCUGGUCUGAGAGGACGACCAGCCACACUGGGACUGAGACACGGCCCAGACUCCUACGGGAGGCAGCAGUGGGGAAUUUUGGACAAUGGGCGCAAGCCUGAUCCAGCAAUGCCGCGUGCAGGAAGAAGGCCUUCGGGUUGUAAACUGCUUUUGUACGGAACGAAACGGCUCUGGUUAAUACCCGGGGCUAAUGACGGUACCGUAAGAAUAAGCACCGGCUAACUACGUG
rnacentral:rRNA from 1 species